UGUUCCCUGCGGUGUUUGUCAAGGCCAUAUAUUCCUUGAACCAAUAACCUUGGCGUCGGUCACGGACCAUUGAAGCUGCUGUUGUGCUGGCCCCAUUUGUCGGGUCGGCCUGAUGCGGAAGGAAAGUGACCCAACUGAACUCCGGUUCAGGAUGCCGGCCUGACGGCAUUCGCGGGGACUUU
rnacentral:other from 1 species